CGAAAUCGGUAGACGCUACGGACUUAAAUAAUUUGAGCGUUAGUAGAAAAACUUACUAAAUGCUAGCUUUCAGAUUCAGGGAAACUUAGGUUGAUAAAAAUAUAAGCAAUCCUGAGCCAAAUCUUAUUUCGUUCGGGAAUAAAAUAGGUGCAGAGACUCAAUGGAAGCUAUCCUAACGAAUAAUAUUUUUAAAAUUAUUUAAAAUUUAUUUUUUAGAUAUUAAGCGAGGAUAAAGAUAGAGUCCAAUUUUACAUGUUAAUCUUAGCAACAAUUUAAAUUGUAGUAGAAAGAAAAUCCGUUGGCUUUAUUGACCGUGAGGGUUCAAGUCCCUCUACCCCCA
rnacentral:ncRNA from 1 species